GGGGAAUAUUGCACAAUGGGGGAAACCCUGAUGCAGCGACGCCGCGUGGAGGAAGAAGGUCUUCGGAUUGUAAACUCCUGUUGUUGAGGAAGAUAAUGACGGUACUCAACAAGGAAGUGACGGCUAACUACGUGCCAGCAGCCGCGGUAAAACGUAGGUCACAAGCGUUGUCCGGAUUUACUGGGUGUAAAGGGCGCGUAGGCGGACUGUCAAGUCAGUCGUGAAAUACCGGGGCUUAACCCCGGGGCUGCGAUUGAAACUGACAGCCUUGAGUAUCGGAGAGGAAAGCGGAAUUCCUAGUGUAGCGGUGAAAUGCGUAGAUAUUAGGAGGAACACCAGUGGCGAAGGCGGCUUUCUGGACGACAACUGACGCUGAGGCGCGAAAGUGUGGGGAGCAAACAGGAUUAGAUACCCUGGUAGUCCACACCGUAAACGAUGGAUACUAGGUGUAGGAGGUAUCGACCCCUUCUGUGCCGCAGUUAACACAAUAAGUAUCCCACCUGGGGAGUACGACCGCAAGGUUGAAACUCAAAGGAAUUGACGGGGGCCCGCACAAGCAGUGGAGUAUGUGGUUUAAUUCGAAGCAACGCGAAGAACCUUACCUGGGCUUGACAUCCCUGGAAUCGAGUAGAGAUACUUGAGUGCCUUCGGGAAUCAGGUGACAGGUGGUGCAUGGUUGUCGUCAGCUCGUGUCGUGAGAUGUUGGGUUAAGUCCCGCAACGAGCGCAACCCCUAUUGUCAGUUGCCAUCAUUAAGUUGGGCACUCUGGCGAGACUGCCGGUGACAAAUCGGAGGAAGGUGGGGACGACGUCAAAUCAUCAUGCCCCUUAUGCCCAGGGCUACACACGUACUACAAUGGCCGAUAACAAAGUGCAGCGAAACCGUGAGGUGGAGCGAAUCACAAAACUCGGUCUCAGUUCAGAUUGCAGGCUGCAACUCGCCUGCAUGAAGUUGGAAUUGCUAGUAAUCGCGGAUCAGAAUGCCGCGGUGAAUACGUUCCCG
rnacentral:rRNA from 1 species